UACGGGGGGAGCAAGCGUUGUUCGGAUUUACUGGGCGUAAAGGGCGCGUAGGCGGUCAGCACAAGUCAGUUGUGAAAUCUCCGGGCUUAACUCGGAAAGGUCAACUGAUACUGUGCGACUAGAGUGCGGAAGGGGCAACUGGAAUUCUCGGUGUAGCGGUGAAAUGCGUAGAUAUCGAGAGGAACACCUGCGGCGAAGGCGGGUUGCUGGGCCGUAACUGACGCUGAGGAGCGAAAGCAUGGGGAGCGAACAGG
rnacentral:rRNA from 1 species